AGUGAACGCUGGCGGUAGGCCUAACACAUGCAAGUCGAACGGCAGCACAGUAAGAGCUUGCUCUUACGGGUGGCGAGUGGCGGACGGGUGAGGAAUACAUCGGAAUCUACUUUUUCGUGGGGGAUAACGUAGGGAAACUUAAGCUAAUACCGCAUACCACCUACGGGUGAAAGCAGGGGAUCUUCGGACCUUGCGCGAUUGAAUGAGCCGAUGUCGGAUUAGCUAGUUGGCGGGGUAAUGGCCCACCCAGGCGACGAUCCGUAGCUGGUCUGAGAGGAUGAUCAGCCACACUGGAACUGAGACACGGUCCAGACUCCUACGGGAGGCAGCAGUGGGGAAUAUUGGACAAUGGGCGCAAGCCUGAUCCAGCCAUACCGCGUGGGUGAAGAAGGCCUUCGGGUUGUAAAGCCCUUUUUUUGGGAAAGAAAAGCAGCAGGUUAAUACCCCGCUGUUCUGACGGUACCCAAAGAAUAAGCACCGGCUAACUUCGUG
rnacentral:rRNA from 1 species